rnacentral:lncRNA from 1 species
AUCUCACUCCAGUUAGAAUGGCAAUCAUCAAGAAUACAAAUAAUAAUAAAUGCUGGUGAGGAUGUGGGGGAAAAGGUAAGUUAUACAUUUUUGGUGGGACUGCAAAUUAGUACAACCACUUUGGAAAGUAGUGUGGAGAUUCCUCAAAGACCAUGAAUAGAACUACCAUAUGACCCAGCUAUCCCACUCCUUGAUAUUUAUCUAAAAGAACUAAAAUCAGCAGACUCUAGUGAUACAGGC